AAGACCUUGCGCUUUUGGAGCGGCCGAUGCCUGAUUAGCUUGUUGGUAAGGUAAAAGCUUACCAAGGCUUCGAUCAGUAGCUGGUCUGAGAGGACGGCCAGCCACACUGGGACUGAGACACGGCCCAGACUCCUACGGGAGGCAGCAGUGGGGAAUUUUGGACAAUGGGGGCAACCUUGAUCCAGCCAUGCCGCGUGAGUGAAGAAGGCCUUCGGGUUGUAAAGCUCUUUCAGCCGGAACGAAACGGUUACGGUUAAUACCCGUGAUUACUGACGGUACCGGAAGAAGAAGCACCGGCUAACUACGUGCCAGCAGCCGCGGUAAUACGUAGGGUGCGAGCGUUAAUCGGAAUUACUGGGCGUAAAGCGUGCGCAGGUGGUUUUGUAAGUCAGAUGUGAAAGCCCCGGGCUCAACCUGGGAACU
rnacentral:rRNA from 1 species